AUGAGUGCGUGUAAGAAGGCCAGGGCGGAAGCUACAUCUGUUGUGAGUUCAGACAGACUUAGCAGUCUACCUCCAGAGUUAAAGGGCGACAUCCUCUCCCGUUUGAAUGUCGAAGAAGCGGUUAAGACUAGCACCUUAUCAAGUACUUGGAGGGAUGCAUGGACUAAUAUGCCAAAAAUAUUUCUGCGCGAUGGAAAUUUCGCAAGAACCAAGUUCGUCACAUUAGUUGAUAUGGUGCUAUCACUCCACAACGGAACUGUAGAGAUGUUUGACAUUUCAGGUAGCAAAACUUACCAUGAUGAGUUCGGUAGGUGGAUGCGCAUGCUAUCUAGGAUAAGACCAAGAUCAGUUACAAUCAGGUUGAACUCAGGGCCAGGGUAUAGGAUUCCUUCAUGUCUAUUUUCUAUCGGCGAUUUGAGGGUUCUGCACCUGCAAAACUGCGUCAUCAGCUUGCCCCGGGUAUUCCAAGGUUUCAAGAGAUUAACUCACCUGGACCUGAAAAAUUUCUCCUCCACAGACAUGGACAUCCAAAAUCUGGUCUCCUUCUGCCCCGUACUGAGUUAUUUGAAACUAGCUUCUUUUGAGGGCAUCAACUAUCUAAACGUUCAAGCUCCUAAACUGAAACGUCUUCAUGUUUUUGGGGACUUUGAAGACAUUAAUUUGGAUGCCCCUAAUUUGGAGGCGGCCAUUCUCUCUCUUGCUCAUGAAGCUAAAGCACAUCAAUCUGUUCCAAUUGCGCAUGACAUGGAAAGCCAUGUCAAGAAGUCAUUGGGAGACCUAAGUGGCAUCAAAACACUUGGAAUUAGUGGCAUUUUCAUGAAGUAUCUAUCAAAAUGGUGCAUACUUACAAAGUUCCCUGCCGUAUUUCAUCGCCUCGAGCAUAUUUAUCUUGUGAUAUGCUUUUGGGACCAGAGGCAAGUCUUGGCCACUUGUUCGCUGUUUCAGAAUGCCCCUAACUUAAAGAAACUUGACAUGUGGGACCACUCUUCGAGCACAUUGGAUCAGGAUCAGGCGAGCAUUCAAGAGCUUACCAUGCAAGUGCAACUGGAUCAUCUCGUAACGGCCAGUGUGAAAGAUUUCAGGGGCCUGGACUGCGAAGUCAAUUUCCUGGCAAAGCUACUGAGUUGGGCGCCGGCUCUGGAAGAAGUGAAGAUAGAAUGGACGGGCAAAACAGAGUGCAGCAUGGUUCUUGCCAAGCUAUUAGCUCUGCCGAGGGUGUCUCCCAGGGCCAAGGUCACCAAGCUAAACUAUAUCAGUCUGUUCCAAUUGGGUAUGACAAGGAAAACCAUGUCAAGAAGUCAUUGGGAAGCCUAA
rnacentral:rRNA from 1 species